rnacentral:rRNA from 1 species
UACGUAGGGUGCGAGCGUUGUCCGGAAUUAUUGGGCGUAAAGGGCUCGUAGGCGGUCUGUCACGUCGGGAGUGAAAACACGGGGCUUAACCCCGUGCCUGCUUCCGAUACGGGCAGACUGGAGUACUGCAGGGGAGACUGGAAUUCCUGGUGUAGCGGUGGAAUGCGCAGAUAUCAGGAGGAACACCGGUGGCGAAGGCGGGUCUCUGGGCAUGUCCUGACGCUGAGGAGCGAAAGUGUGGGAGCGAACAGG